rnacentral:rRNA from 1 species
CCUGCCGUCUACUCUUGGACAGCCUUCUGAAAGGAAGAUUAAUACAAGAUGGCAUCAUGAGUCCGCAUGUUCACAUGAUUAAAGGUAUUCCGGUAGACGAUGGGGAUGCGUUCCAUUAGAUAGUAGGCGGGGUAACGGCCCACCUAGUCUUCGAUGGAUAGGGGUUCUGAGAGGAAGGUCCCCCACAUUGGAACUGAGACACGGUCCAAACUCCUACGGGAGGCAGCAGUGAGGAAUAUUGGUCAAUGGGCGAGAGCCUGAACCAGCCAAGUAGCGUGAAGGAUGACUGCCCUAUGGGUUGUAAACUUCUUUUAUAAAGGAAUAAAGUCGGGUAUGGAUACCCGUUUGCAUGUACUUUAUGAAUAAGGAUCGGCUAACUCCGUGCCAGCAGCCGCGGUAAUACGGAGGAUCCGAGCGUUAUCCGGAUUUAUUGGGUUUAAAGGGAGCGUAGACGGAUGUUUAAGUCAGUUGUGAAAGUUUGCGGCUCAACCGUAAAAUUGCAGUUGAUACUGGAUAUCUUGAGUGCAGUUGAGGCAGGCGGAAUUCGUGGUGUAGCGGUGAAAUGCUUAGAUAUCACGAAGAACUCCGAUUGCGAAGGCAGCCUGCUAAGCUGCAACUGACAUUGAGGCUCGAAAGUGUGGGUAUCAAACAGGAUUAGAUACCCUGGUAGUCCACACGGUAAACGAUGAAUACUCGCUGUUUGCGAUAUACUGCAAGCGGCCAAG